CUGGGUAAGUCGGGGCCUAAGGCGAGGUCGAAAGACGUAGUCGAUGGAUAACAGGUUGAAAUUCCUGUACCGCAUGUAAUCAGAACUGUGGGGACACAGGGCGAUAAUCAGACCCGGGAAUGAAAAGACCGGGGCAAGCGAGGUAGGAGAGGAGUUGGAAAAACCGCUUCUCAAUCCGAAGACGUGACGCGUACCGAACAAAAGUAGGGAAGCUGAAGAUUCGAACUGUCAAGAAAAGCCGCUAUUGUGUUACAUGUGCCCGUACCGUAAACCGACACAGGUGGAUGAGGAGAGAAUCCUAAGGCCGGCGGGAGAAGCAUUGUUAAGGAACUCGGCAAAAUGACCCUGUAACUUCGGGAGAAAGGGUGCCUGGGAAACCAGGCCGCAGAGAAUAGGCUCAAGCAACUGUUUAGCAAAAACACAGGUCUAUGCAAAACCGAAAGGUGAGGUAUAUGGGCUGACGCCUGCCCGGUGCUGGAAGGUUAAGAGGAGAGGUUAGCGCAAGCGAAGCUUUGAAUUUAAGCCCCAGUAAACGGCGGCCGUAACUAUAACGGUCCUAAGGUAGCGAAAUUCCUUGUCGGGUAAGUUCCGACCCGCACGAAAGGCGUAAUGAUUUGAGCGCUGUCUCGACAAUGCACCCGGUGAAAUUGAAAUACCAGUGAAGAUGCUGGUUACCUGCGCCAGGACGGAAAGACCCCAUGGAGCUUUACUCUAGCUUGAUACUGGGAUUCGAUAUUGCAUGUACAGGAUAGGUGGGAGACUAGGAAGUGGUGACGCCAGUUGCCAUGGAGUCAAUGUUGGGAUACCACCCUUGCAGUAUUGGGUUUCUAACCAGCAGCCGUGAUCCGGCUGGGGGACAAUGUCAGGUGGGGAGUUUGACUGGGGCGGUCGCCUCCGAAAGGGUAUCGGAGGCGCUCAAAGGUUCCCUCAGAAUGGUUGGAAACCAUUCGAAGAGUGCAAAGGCAGAAGGGAGCUUGACUGCGACACCGACGGGUGGAGCAGGUACGAAAGUAGGACUUAGUGAUCCGGUGGUAUAAAGUGGGAUUGCCAUCGCUCAACGGAUAAAAGCUACCCUGGGGAUAACAGGCUUAUCACUCCCAAGAGUUCACAUCGACGGAGUGGUUUGGCACCUCGAUGUCGGCUCAUCGCAUCCUGGGGCUGUAGUAGGUCCCAAGGGUUGGGCUGUUCGCCCAUUAAAGCGGUACGCGAGCUGGGUUCAGAACGUCGUGAGACAGUUCGGUCCCUAUC
rnacentral:rRNA from 1 species